CUCGUCGCCACCGCUGCGGCCGCGGGGAUACUGUACCUCGUCUUCCAGCCGAAGAUCCCCAAGUACUCCGUUGACGGCCUCUCCGUCAAGGGCUUCAACCUCUCCGCCGCCACCGCCGCUGCCAACCUCGCCGCCCUCUCGCCGGAGUUCGACGCCACCGUCCGCGCGGACAACCCCAACGAAAAGAUCGGCAUCUACUACCGCUCCGGCAGCUCCAUCUCCAUCA
rnacentral:lncRNA from 1 species